rnacentral:rRNA from 1 species
ACGGGAGGCAGCAGUGGGGAAUAUUGGACAAUGGGGGAAACCCUGAUCCAGCGACGCCGCGUGAGUGAAGAAGUAUUUCGGUAUGUAAAGCUCUUUAAGCAGGAAAGAAAAUGACGGUACCUGCAGAAUAAGCCACGGCUAACUACGUGCCAGCAGCCGCGGUAAUACGUAGGUGGCAAGCGUUAUCCGGAUUUACUGGGUGUAAAGGGCGCGUAGGCGGGGAUGCAAGUCAGGUGUGAAAUCCAUGGGCUUAACCCAUGAACUGCACUUGAAACUGUAUCUCUUGAGUGUCGGAGAGGUAGACGGAAUUCCUAGUGUAGCGGUGAAAUGCGUAGAUAUUAGGAGGAACACCAGUGGCGAAGGCGGUCUACUGGACGAUAACUGACGCUGAGGCGCGAAAGCGUGGGGAGCAAACAGGAUUAAAUACCCUGGUA